rnacentral:rRNA from 1 species
UGGGGAAUCUUAGACAAUGGGGGAAACCCUGAUCUAGCCAUGCCGCGUGAUCGAUGACGGCCUUAGGGUUGUAAAGAUCUUUCGACGGGGACGAUAAUGACGGUACCCGUAGAAGAAGCCCCGGCUAACUUCGUGCCAGCAGCCGCGGUAAUACGAAGGGGGCUAGCGUUGUUCGGAAUUACUGGGCGUAAAGCGCGUGUAGGCUGACAUUUAAGUCAGGGGUGAAAUCCCGGGGCUCAACCCCGGAACUGCCUUUGAUACUGGAUGUCUGGAGUCCGGAAGAGGUGAGUGGAAUUCCGAGUGUAGAGGUGAAAUUCGUAGAUAUUCGGAGGAACACCAGUGGCGAAGGCGGCUCACUGGUCCGGUACUGACGCUGAGACGCGAAAGUGUGGGGAGCAAACAGGAUUAGAUACCCCCGUAGUCC